GACGAACGCUGGCGGCGUGCUUAACACAUGCAAGUCGAACGGGAGUAUCAAAGAAGCUUGCUUUUAAGAUACUUUAGUGGCGGACGGGUGAGUAACGCGUGAGGAGCUGUCCUAUGCAGGGGGACAACAGUUGGAAACGACUGCUAAUACCCCAUAAGCCGAGAGGUAAAAGGAUUUAUCCGGCAAAGGAGGUACUCGCGUCCUAUCAGCUAGUAGGUGGGGUAACGGCUCACCUAGGCGAAGACGGGUAGCCGGCCUGAGAGGGCGAACGGCCACACUGGAACUGAGAUACGGUCCAGACUCCUACGGGAGGCAGCAGUGGGGAAUAUUGGGCAAUGGGGGAAACCCUGACCCAGCGACGCCGCGUGGGUGAAGAAAUCCUUCGGGAUGUAAAGCCCUGUUGUAUGGGAAGAGCAGAAGACGGUACCAUACGAGGAAGCCCCGGCAAACUACGUGCCAGCAGCCGCCGUAAAAC
rnacentral:rRNA from 1 species